UGAUAGUACCUCACUACAUGGAUAACCGUGGUAAUUCUAGAGCUAAUACAUGCUAAAAACCCCGACUCACGGAGGGGUGUAUUUAUUAGAUAAAAAACCAAUGCCCUUCGGGGCUCCUUGGUGAAUCAUGAUAACUCAACGAAUCGCAUGGCCUUGCGCCGGCGAUGGUUCAUUCAAAUUUCUGCCCUAUCAACUUUCGAUGGUAGGAUAGUGGCCUACCAUGGUUUCAACGGGUAACGGGGAAUUAGGGUUCGACUCCGGAGAGGGAGCCUGAGAAACGGCUACCACAUCCAAGGAAGGCAGCAGGCGCGCAAAUUACCCAAUCCCGACACGGGGAGGUAGUGACAAUAAAUACUGAUACAGGGCUCUUUUGGGUCUUGUAAUUGGAAUGAGUACAAUUUAAAUCCCUUAACGAGGAACAAUUGGAGGGCAAGUCUGGUGCCAGCAGCCGCGGUAAUUCCAGCUCCAAUAGCGUAUAUUAAAGUUGUUGCAGUUAAAAAGCUCGUAGUUGAACCUUGGGCCUGGCUGGCCGGUCCGCCUCACCGCGUGUACUGGUCCGGCCGGGCCUUUCCUUCUGGGGAGCCGCAUGCCCUUCACUGGGCGUGCCGGGGAACCAGGACUUUUACUUUGAAAAAAUUAGAGUGUUCAAAGCAGGCCUUUGCUCGAAUACAUUAGCAUGGAAUAAUAGAAUAGGACGUGUGGUUCUAUUUUGUUGGUUUCUAGGACCGCCGUAAUGAUUAAUAGGGAUAGUCGGGGCCGUCCGUAUUCAAUUGUCAGAGGUGAAAUUCUUGGAUUUAUUGAAGACGAACUACUGCGAAAGCAUUCGGCAAGGAUGUUUUCAUUAAUCAGUGAACGAAAGUUAGGGGAUCGAAGACGAUCAGAUACCGUCGUAGUCUUAACCAUAAACUAUGCCGACUAGGGAUCGG
rnacentral:rRNA from 1 species